AUGAACGCUGGCGGCGUGCCUAAUACCUGCCAGUCGAGCGAACGGACGAGAAGCUUGCUUCUCUGAUGUUAGCGGCGGACGGGUGAGUAACACGUGGAUAACCUACCUAUAAGACUGGGAUAACUUCGGGAAACCGUAGCUAAUACCGGAUAAUAUUUUGAACCGCAUGGUUCAAAAGUGAAAGACGGUCUUGCUGUCACUUAUAGAUGGAUCCGCGCUGCAUUAGCUAGUUGGUAAGGUAACGGCUUACCAAGGCAACGAUGCAUAGCCGACCUGAGAGGGUGCUCGGCCACACUGGAACUGAGACACGGUCCAGACUCCUACGGGAGGCAGCAGUAGGGAAUCUUCCGCAAUGGGCGAAAGCCUGACGGAGCAACGCCGCGUGAGUGAUGAAGGUCUUCGGAUCGUAAAACUCUGUUAUUAGGGAAGAACAUAUGUGUAAGUAACUGUGCACAUCUUGACGGUACCUAAUCAGAAAGCCACGGCUAACUACGU
rnacentral:rRNA from 1 species